rnacentral:rRNA from 1 species
GACGAACGCUGGCGGCGUGCUUAACACAUGCAAGUCGAACGGACAGGCCCUGCUUUUGUGGGGUGCUCGAGUGGCGACCGGGUGAGUAACAUGUGAGUAACCUAUCCUUGACUUUGAGAUAACUUCAGGACACUGGGGCUAAUACCGGAUAGGAGCUCCUGCUUCAUGGUGGGGGCUGGUAAGUUUCGGCGGUUGGGUAUGGACUUGCGGCUUAUCAGCUUGUUGGUGGGGUAGUGGCUUGCCAAGGCUUUGACGGGUAGCCGGCCUGAGAGGGUGGACGGCCACAUUGGUACGGAGAGACGGCCCAGACUACGUCGUGAGGCAAGAGUGAGGAAUAUAGCAAGAGGGGCGGAAGCCAGAUGGACGAAGGCCGCGGGCGGGAAGGCUGCAUUUGGGAUGUUAGUAGAUUUCUUUUGUGACGGAGGAUGAUUGACGGUAAUGGGUAAAAAAGCACCGGCUAAUUACGU